rnacentral:pre_miRNA from 1 species
UUAGCUCAUAUUUGUAUGGAAUGGGGAUGGUUUGCCUAUGUUUGCGGCUAGGGGCGCUGUUCCAACUGCAUACAAAAUUGGGUA